UGGAAUUGAACGAAGGGCACACAAAGAGUGGAACCUGCGGCUUAAUUUGACUCAACACGGGAAAACUCACCAGGUCCGGAUACACGUAUGAAAGUCAAGCUGAAAGACUUUACUCAAUGAUGUAAGUGGUGGUGCAUGGUCGUUCUUAGUUCGUGGAUUGAUUUGUCUGGUCUAUUCCGAUAACGAGCGAGACCCCAACGUUCCUAAUAGGGGUGGCAGCCCGCUGGCCGAAAGGUUAGUAGCCGCCGCCUGAGAUUUGCUUCUUAGACGUAUCAGAAUCGAUAAGGUUCUUGAAAUGGGUCAAUAACAGGUCAGUCAUGCCCUUAGAUGUUCUGGGCCGCACGCGCGUUACAAUGGCAUGUAUAGAACGUGCUUCUCAAAGGCGUUUCCGGGGCCGAAAGGCUCUGGUAACCCUUAGUCCCUGCUUUGACUGGGACAGAUCUUUGCAAUUAUUGGUCUCUAACGAGGAAUUUUUAGUAAUCGUAGGUCAUUAACCUGCGAUGAAUGCGUCCCUGCCCUUUGUACACACCGCC
rnacentral:rRNA from 1 species